UACGUAGGGGGCAAGCGUUGUCCGGAUUUAUUGGGCGUAAAGAGCGUGUAGGCGGCCUGAAAGGUCAGCUGUGAAAACUCGAGGCUCAACCUCGAGACGUCGGUUGAAACCAUCUGGCUAGAGUCCGGAAGAGGAGAGUGGAAUUCCCGGUGUAGCGGUGAAAUGCGCAGAUAUCAGGAGGAACACCAGUGGCGAAGGCGGUGCUCUGGGCCGGAACUGACGCUGAGGAGCGAAAGCGUGGGGAGCAAACAGG
rnacentral:rRNA from 1 species